rnacentral:rRNA from 1 species
GACGAACGCUGGCGGCGUGCUUAACACAUGCAAGUCGAACGGAAAGGCCCUGCUUGCAGGGUACUCGAGUGGCGAACGGGUGAGUAACACGUGGGUGAUCUGCCCUGCACUUCGGGAUAAGCCUGGGAAACUGGGUCUAAUACCGGAUAGGAGCCAUUUUUAGUGUGAUGGUUGGAAAGUUUUUUCGGUGUAGGAUGAGCUCGCGGCCUAUCAGCUUGUUGGUGGGGUAAUGGCCUACCAAGGCGGCGACGGGUAGCCGGCCUGAGAGGGUGGACGGCCACAUUGGGACUGAGAUACGGCCCCGACUCCUACGGGGGGCAGCAGUUGGGAAUAUUGCACAAUGGGCGCAAGCCUGAUGCAGCGACGCCGCGUGGGGGAUGACGGCCUUCGGGUUGUAAACUCCUUUCGCUAGGGACGAAGCUUUUUGUGACGGUACCUAGAUAAGAAGCACCGGCUAACUACGUG